GGCCCCGUAGAGGAGUGGAGUCCUCGUCUCCUUGUCAAGGAGAAAAUCGCCGGUUCGAAUCCGGUCGGGGCCG
rnacentral:tRNA from 1 species